UACGUAGGGACCAAGCGUUGUUCGGAUUUACUGGGCGUAAAGGGCGCGUAGGCGGCAAUUCAAGUCAUCUGUGAAAUCUCCGGGCUUAACUCCGAAACUGCAUUUGAUACUGCCUUGCUUGAGGACUGGAGAGGAGACUGGAAUUUACGGUGUAGCAGUGAAAUGCGUAGAUAUCGUAAGGAAGACCAGUGGCGAAGGCGGGGUCUCUGGACAGUUCCUGACACUGAGGCACGAAGGCUAGGGGAGCAAACGGG
rnacentral:rRNA from 1 species